rnacentral:lncRNA from 1 species
UUUUAGAACUAUAGUGAUAUGAAUACAUGUUUGUAUUCCUGACUCUAAAGUGUUCCUUUAAACUGGUUUAGAGAACAGAAAGAGACUGUCUGUUUGUAUAUAACCUCCAUAUAUGUUUAUAGCUGUUAGAUUGUUAGGCUCAUUAUCGACCUUUCUCCCUAUGCUUGGUCACUUAUAAUGUCCUGUGGACAUAAUACAAAUGCUAUUUUAGUACAGACCUUUUGGCCCUUUUUUCAAUAAAGCCUUUUUGUAUGUUCCCUACUAUUUUAUAUAUACUGUUAAGUUUAAGUAAUCACUAACCGAUGAGUGAAGGAACCUCAUGAACUAUAUUUUUACCACUUACAACAAACUACACACUGUAUGGGUAUUGGGUGGUUACUUAUCAUAAGGAUGAAUUGUGCACUACUUGCAAACACCAGUUAGCAGGUCCCAUCUGUUUUAACUCUUGGAAAUGGCUAAACAUUCUCAUUUAGAAUUAAGGAUUAACCCCUGGACCUAUAUAUUUGUAUUUUUCAUUGUUCUAUUUUUUUUGAGAGCAAAAAACUUGCAGUGACUCUGUCCAAGUGUGAAAGAUUACAGCUACAAUCGAUUAGUCAGAGGUGAACAAUGAGGGCACAACUUAACUGCCUCAUACAGAAGGAGACAAUACAAAGGAUUAAGGAGACAAUCUCUGCCAUAUACACAUGAAACUAAUUAUCUGUUACUUUUAUUUUCAGAUGGAUAAUCUUGAUGACUGUCAAUUACUGGCUACCUCAUACAAAUAGUAAGGGUGACAUUGUUAUUGGUAAAGUACAUUUCAUUAACGAAACACUACCACCUAAACAUUAAAAUAGUGUAGUCGUGAAUUAAAUAUCACUAUGCUAUGUGUAAUUUUUAUAUUUUAACUAUUUAAAAAAAAAAAAAAAAGAAUUGGACACUUCACAAAGUCCCACUUGAGACAUACAGAGCUUGGAGACACUGAACGUGGGUGCUGCACACUGUGCAGCAGUGACCCAGGACUCUCUAGUGGCUGUCUGAGUGACUGUCACUAGAGGUGUUACUAAGCACAAUGUAAACCCUGCAUUUCAGCUGAAAAGGCAGGGUUUACAUUAAAAAAGCCUGCAGGGACAGGCUUUAGACUACAUCAAGCUGUAGUGUUUAUGGUGACUAUAGUGUCCCUUUAAGAAUUACAUUUUGUCUCGCUGAAAAUGACGGGCUCCUAACUUUUUUAGCGGCUCCUAGAUUGCUAACAAAAUUUUCAAGCCCUGCAAUAGCCUAUGGGAAAGCAUUGGAUUGGCUGAGAUUGUCACAUUCAAUGAUCAGGGGCAAGGCAGGGCCGGCCGAGGUGACACUGGCACGGUGCUGGAAAAAAGUAAAGUGAGUAAAGAGAGGGGGACAGUGGACCUAAAUAGUGAUUUUUCCACUAUUGCAUCAGGAAUACACAUUUGUAUUCCUGACACUAUAGUGUUCUUUUAAAAAUGGUUACACAAAUAUCAAUACAUUCUGCAUCCAUCGACUUUUGGGUUGAAACUGUACAGUCCAUGGCUGAUUUAUGGUCAAUUGUCCUCUUUUUUUUUUUUUUUUUUUAUUUCUGUGCCCAAUGGAUUUACAGUGAUAUACAGGUAAUGCACAAAAGUAAUUAUCUACCUCCUGAAAUGGCGAGUGAGGUUACUCUACGGUAGCUGUUUUGUACCAUGUCUCUUUUUGUUUGAAGUUAAUGGGAGUUGUAGUCAAUAUUAGAAUAUUGGGGAAACAAAAAUAAUCUUCAGAUCUUAUGCAUAAAAGAUCAGCUCACCAUAAGUUUCUACCUCUUUUUUUCUUUAUUUUUGGUGUAUACGUAUUAAGCUGCAGGUCUAGGAAGAACUGUUAACCCCUUAAGGACAGAGGAUAUUGUCCAAGUUCUGAACCAAAAUGAAACCUAGGAUUUGAGCUAUAUGUCUGGUCAAUCAUAAUUCACCGCUUUCAUAUUAAUUGCACCCACACUUAUUAUUAAUCAUUUUGUUCAGGAGAAACAGGGCAUUAAUUUCCCAUCAAAAUUUUAUUUAUGAAGCAUAAUUUUAUAUGAUUAACCCCUUAAGGACCGAGGACGGUUCAGGACCGUCAUCGGCAUUUUCCCAUUGCCGACCGAUGACGGUCCUGAACCGUCCCAACGGUCUUAGUUACUUACCUGAUCGCCGUCGUUCCCCCGUCGGCGAUCAGCGUUGCUCCCGUUGUGGGACAGUCUCCCCACGCUGGAUUAGGACCCCUGUGGCCAUGUGAUCACUUAACACAGCGAUCACAUGGUCACAAUAGAUGUCUGCCUGCAGGGGGACUGUCUGUGCUGACAGGCAGUCUCCCUGCAUGUGUAAAAUCAAUAAAAAAAAUAAAGUUAGUGUUAAUAAAAAUUAAAAAAAAUUAUAUGUGUGUGCGUAUG